UACGGAGGAUGCAAGCGUUAUCCGGAAUGAUUGGGCGUAAAGCGUCCGCAGGUGGCUGUGUAAGUCUGCUGUCAAAGAGCAAAGCUCAACUUUGUAAAGGCAGUGGAAACUACACGGCUAGAGUGCGUUCGGGGCAGAGGGAAUUCCUGGUGUAGCGGUGAAAUGCGUAGAAAUCAGGAAGAACACCGGUGGCGAAGGCGCUCUGCUAGGCCGCAACUGACACUGAGGGACGAAAGCUAGGGGAGCGAAUGGG
rnacentral:rRNA from 1 species